AUGACUACGAUAUCCGUCCUCAUCUGGACUCUCCUCUGCUGCUGCUUCACAGAGUCCAGAGGCCAGAUCACAGUGACUCAGCCUGCAGGAGUGAGAUCUGCUCUGGGAGGACCUGCAAGAAUCAGCUGUACAGUCAGUCAGGAUGUUAUAUUUUAUAAUGGUUACCACGAGUUAGCCUGGUACCAAAAGAGAAAUGGAGAAACUCCUAAACUUCUCAUUUACUAUGCUACCACUCGAGCAUCAGGUAUUCCAGGUCGUUUUACAGGCAUUGGAUCAAAGUCUGACUUCACUCUGACCAUCAGUGGAGUUCAGGCUGAAGAUGCAGCAGUUUAUUACUGUCAGAGUAAACAUGUUAUCAACAGCCAGCAUAUGUUCACACAGUGA